AGAGUUUGAUCCUGGCUCAGAACGAACGCUGGCGGCAGGCUUAACACAUGCAAGUCGAACGUGAAGCAGGAGCUUGCUCCUGUGGAAAGUGGCAGACGGGUGAGUAACGCGUGGGAAUUUACCCAGUGGUUCGGAAUAACGCAUGGAAACGUGUGCUAAUACCGGAUACGCCCUCCGGGGGAAAGAUUUAUCGCCAUUGGAUGAGCCCGCGUCGGAUUAGCUAGUUGGUGAGGUAAUGGCUCACCAAGGCGACGAUCCGUAGCUGGUCUGAGAGGAUGAUCAGCCACACUGGGACUGAGACACGGCCCAGACUCCUACGGGAGGCAGCAGUGGGGAAUAUUGCGCAAUGGGGGAAACCCUGACGCAGCCAUGCCGCGUGAGUGAAGAAGGCCUUAGGGUUGUAAAACUCUUUCAGUGGUGAAGAUAAUGACGGUAGCCACAGAAGAAGCCCCGGCCAACUCCGUGCCAGCAGCCGCGGUAAUACGGAGGGGGCUAGCGUUGUUCGGAAUUACUGGGCGUAAAGCGCGCGUAGGCGGGCUGGUUAGUUGGGGGUGAAAUCCCAGGGCUCAACCCUGGAACUGCCCUCAAUACUGCCAGUCUUGAGUUCGAGAGAGGUAAGCGGAAUUCCUAGUGUAGAGGUGAAAUUCGUAGAUAUUAGGAAGAACACCAGUGGCGAAGGCGGCUUACUGGCUCGAUACU
rnacentral:rRNA from 1 species